UACAGAGGGGGCAAGCGUUAUUCGGAAUUAUUGGGCGUAAAGGGCGCGUAGGCGGCUUGGCAAGUGGAAGGUGAAAUCCCUCGGCUUAACCGAGGAACUGCCCUCGAAACUGCUUCGCUUGAGACCGGGAGAGGUGAGUGGAAUUCCCAGUGUAGCGGUGAAAUGCGUAGAUAUUGGGAGGAACACCAGUGGCGAAGGCGGCUCACUGGACCGGUACUGACGCUGAUGCGCGAAAGCGUGGGGAGCAAACGGG
rnacentral:rRNA from 1 species